AAGGACAACUGAAAAUUAAAACAUACUAGGGUUUAUUGUAACCUUAUUUAUUUACUGGGUAAAAUUUUCUUUUAGAGUUUCUGGAUUGUAGGUAAUAUGGGUGCUAAUACUGGUGUGACAACCGGUAAUUUACGAAUAUUAAUUACGUGAUUAACAAGUAAUUAACACGAUAAUAAAUAGUGUUUACAGCGCGAAUUAACUUAAUUAGGCCUUUGGAGUGCCUAGGAACGUCUAUCCGACUUUACAGUGCGCGAACGGUGAUUUGCGGAGAAAACAUGCUAAACGUUAAGCGAUAACGAAACGAAACCGUACAAAAUACUGACAACGCUAACAAAUACGGAUUUUCUAUGAAAAUUUUAUAUUCAUGAAAUUAAUUUUGUGAAUAUAUCGUACUUUCAUAUGCCACAAAAUGCAGACGCGAACAAGAAACGCGGAAACGGUAACGCACCGACAAUCAACGACGAAACGGAAGCACCGAACUCGAUUUUCGUCUAGAUAUUAAUAUAUUUUUAUAUAUUUAUCUUCGUUUUUAAUUUUAUUAUCCUUCGAUGAAAACGGAUUGAGAAACGGAUUAAAAACGACGGGACUACACAGUUUACGCAAUUUUAACGGGAUCGACAAACGUAUGCGCAAACGACAUCAACCGGCACUAUCUUACACAUUUUUUUAUCUAAAAUUUGGGGUUUACGAUGAUACGGUGGAUUAGGUUUCCAAAAUGGGUCUUGUAGAGAAUUACGGGCCACUUAAAAACACACAAGCCUAAUCCUGCACAUGAUAUAUUAGAUCUUACAAGAUCACUACAAAAUAUUAUCAAAUCUUGUUUACAAAUCUUAGUAAAUCUAUACUAACCUCUAUAAAGGAUUUUAACCCUAAGAAUGAAAGAUAUGACCUGGAUGUAAUGUAAAUACACAAAAGAAAGUGAAGGCCUUCCAUUUUCUCCUCACUCUAUUAAUACACAGGCUAUCUCUUCCCUUAAACACACACACUGCCAAACACCCUCUAUACAUCACUCCCUCUCUCGAUCUCUCUAUUACAUACAAACACAGAGACUUUAUGUCUCUGCUUGUGACUAAAACCCAAACCAAACACUCUCUCGACCCACCUCCUCCCUCGUCGGCCGGUGAAACCGGCGGAGCUGUGCUCCGAUCAUCUUGUUCCCCGAGGUUUUGUUAACCAAAAAACAACUACACAACCCCCCCUUUUGAACGACAACAUGGAGCACCACCACCACCAUCGUCCGGUGGUGGUGCGACGGCAAAGACAAGAAGGCAGAGGUGAGAGAGAGAAUCGAGAAGCAAGAGAGAGAGAGAGGUGAUGAGAGAGAGACCGCGGAGAGAGAGAAUCGGUGGCGCGUGGCGGCGCGGUUUCACGACGGAGACAGAGAGACGGAGAGGAUAGUUAGAGAGAGAGGAAGACCGUUCAAGAGAGAGGGAUAGGAGACUUGGACUGACGGUCGGAGCCAAGGACCGGCGGUCCUUGCCAUUGUCCGACGAAUCUCCAUGAUUUUCGGCAAAACUCCGGUCUUGUUUCCAGUCAUGGUUCCAGCUCUUAAGACUCAAGAUGUGAUUUUGACCAUUAUGGCUUAGUCAACACUAGUCAACAGCGACGGUCGGGUUUUUGGUUCGUGCCAACUCGGUUAAACCGAGUUAACUCGGUCGGGUUCUGGGUCAAAGACAGUCAACGGAACUCGGUUCGGGUUCUUCGGGUCAAAAUGAUUCAACUCAGCGCUCGGUCAACUCAGCGUGCCGACACGAAGAUUCGGUAAAGAUUUACGGCACGACUAUUUUUGUUAUCUCUAUAACUUUAUUACUUACGUGAAACGAGCUCGAACCAGUUAAUUGUAGUUUACGUUUAAUAUAUUUUGACAGUUACAUAUAUAUUGUUUGAACUUGGU
rnacentral:lncRNA from 1 species